ACCAUGGUAGCCUAAUGGUCAGGGUAACAGACUCGUGAUCUGCCGAGGCUCAAAUGACCUCCCAUUGGUA